rnacentral:rRNA from 1 species
GAUGAACGCUGCGGCGUGCCUAAUACAUGCAAGUCGAGCGAACAGACGAGGAGCUUGCUCCUCUGACGUUAGCGGCGGACGGGUGAGUAACCCGUGGAUAACCUACCUAUAAGACUGGGAUAACUUCGGGAAACCGGAGCUAAUACCGGAUAAUAUAUUGAACCGCAUGGUUCAAUAGUGAAAGACGGUUUUGCUGUCACUUAUAGAUGGAUCCGCGCCGCAUUAGCUAGUUGGUAAGGUAACGGCUUACCAAGGCAACGAUGCGUAGCCGACCUGAGAGGGUGAUCGGCCACACUGGAACUGAGACACGGUCCAGACUCCUACGGGAGGCAGCAGUAGGGAAUCUUCCGCAAUGGGCGAAAGCCUGACGGAGCAACGCCGCGUGAGUGAUGAAGGUCUUCGGAUCGUAAAACUCUGUUAUUAGGGAAGAACAAAUGUGUAAGUAACUAUGCACGUCUUGACGGUACCUAAUCAGAAAGCCACGGCUAACUACGUG